UUAGAGCUAACUGAGCCUCGACUGAAAGCAGGUAUUUGCUUUGGAUGCUACGUCCCACCGCAUCCGUUACAGGCAACACGGCAGCCGCACCUGCCUCCUGCGAUGCCGCCUGACACAGUCGGAUAAGGGAGGAACAUAACACGCCGUGGCGGCUCUGGGUGGGCCAUUGCAGCGCACGGGGACGUGUUGCACAUAGCAGCAGGUGACAUACCUCUUCCAUCAGUCACGGACUAAUCUCCAAAGCUUCGCGUUUAGAGUCACUCUGGAGAAAUUCCUGAAGUCCUGAAGAUUAUUUUCAUCUGAACGCUUCACUACUCAUUCCCCCUGCCCUCACCAGCCCCAGUUUCCACCAUUCCCAACUUCCCUGCAUCCCAGAGGCGUUUGACUUGUGAAUUUCCAGGCAGUUGCACCAAACAGCAAAUGAACGCCUGGGAUCUGUGCGGUGCAUGAGCCGAUCAUCUUUGCUACGGAUGCACGUACAUUCACCCUUAAAAAUCAAAGGGAUCGCUGCAAAGACCUGGCUCGCGCAUAAAGAAAAGCAGCACAGUUUGAUACAUGCCUUCUCCAGCGAGUACUGCUAAUCGACUUUUACAUCCCCUUUUGGGAUUUCAGAGGAGAGCUACCUGAGCAUUGUACGGCACCCGACAAAAAUGAGUAAUUCCAUUACCACAAAUCACAGGAUUUCCAGAUAUUCCAGGAUCAGAAGAGCACAACUUGACAAGUAGCAGAUGCCCAUUCAGAGGUUUUAAAUAACAUUCAUUCAUUUUCCAAACACAACAGCAUGAAGUACCUACAACUUAUCAGUAGCAAACCCAGACACAAAGCCUGCAAAAAUGCACUAGCCUACCAUAUUCACUAUUUCAACCAGUUUUAGUCAAGGAACAACCAGAAGAAAUGAGAAGGAAAACCUAAGAGGCUUCACACAAGCUGUUUCUGUUUAAGGACAGAAGUUUUAGCUCAAAUACAGCAUAGUUGUGAUGUCAUUGAACACAGCAAAAGCUGCAGGCAAACAGAACGUUUUCAUUGUAAUACCACUACUGUAGGCAUAUUUGAAACACUAUAGCAUCUUCAGACUAUGAUUAUAACUGUUUGUUGUUUCUGUGGUUUCAAAGAUAAUAGAAGCUGUUCAUAAAAUUUACACAAUGCUGAUGUGCCGCAUACAAAAUAUAGACUCAGUGUCACAAGCAAAAUUUUCCCGCUGAGAAACCUGCAGACCAUCAAGUUAUGAUUUCAUACUAUUGUGAUCAGCAAUUAAAACUAGAGCACUAGAAAUGCAACCCUGAAUCCUUCGACUUACCCAGAUAAAGCAAGAUGGACGUGCCUGGUCCUCGCUUUCGGUACCCAAAGCAACAACUGCCUCAGAGACCAUCUUGACUUGCACAGUCUCAUUUGCAUUGCCCAACAGAAGUCCACCACGAAGGAAGAAAAACCAUCAACGUGAAAGAGGAACAGUGGUAGGAGAAAUAACCCCCAACUGUGCACAACACACCUCCCUUCCCUCCCUGCAGCCCACCUAAGGUGGUAGCAGCACGUGGUACCUCCCUCCCACAGGUGCUGGAAAGGCAGGGGAAAAGAUCACCUACAGCUGUUUGGCAGAAAAUGAGAGAGCAGCCCUCACACGGUUAAUUGAUAGGUUCACUUAUCUUCACCACCUUGCUGUUGAGCUUCGCCCUCAGAGGUGCAAAGAGAGGCAGAUGUGGUACUUGGCAAGCUGUCAAGACAUAUCUUUCUUUUAAAAAGUAAGGCACACAUCGCCGGCUGCUCGACGCCGGGCCCUUCUGUCCGUAACAACACUGCUGUCGGCACUGAGGAUGCCCUUUUCAAACAUGGUCAAGGGGGAAGCGGGUGAUUUAGGGGAAAACAAUUUUUCCUGGUGCUACCCAAAAUGGGCUUCUUCCCACCCCACCCCACCAUGAAGGGCUUCUUCCUCAAGCCCUUGCUGGUAACUCCUCAUAGACAUAUUCUUUCACCAGAAAUCAGACCCCAUUUGCCACAUGGGACUUACCAGCCACAGACCACCACCCUACCACAUCAAGGUCCUCAUGAGGUCCUCACACCCAGGGUCUGAAGGCCGUAGGCUUGACAUCCAUCAUCUGCACCGUGCCUCUCAGAUGGCAUGAUCCCACUCGCGGUUUUACCAGUGGCGUCAUUUUUAUUGUUCCAUCCAUCACUCCGUACUCUUCG